rnacentral:snoRNA from 1 species
CUUGCAUGAUGAGAAACAUUUUUUUUCAGUUCUGCUUCUGCAAACAUCUUGAAGAAAACAAAAUACCUUACCAAAUCUCCUGAUGC